GAGGGACUGGGCCGUCCGCCUGCUGGUCCUCACACUGUGGUUCCACCCAGAAUGUGCCGUGUCCACAGGGAACCCCGUCUGGACCAGGUCUCCUCACGGCCUGAAGGUCACACACGUGACAUCAGGGCGGGGCUCCUGCGUUUCAGCCCCGUGUCCGCUGUGGCUCCCUGGGCUCCUCGUCUCACCCCCAUUUCUGUUACGGACCCUGAGCCCAAAGUGACACAGAGCUCCCGCCACGCAGCCCAAGGGAGCGGCGUCAGCUCGGCCCCGCUUUUCCUUCUCACACAGAACUUCCCUCCGCGCUUUCCACAUCGUCAGCCCGGCCGCAGGCUGCUGUCACCCACCUUCCAGCCUGAGCGUGGCUCAGUCACCAGAAGCGGGGGCAGGAGGGGAGGAGAACAUGGGGCUCACUGAGUGGGUAGCAGCCGCUCCCGGUGCUUGGCUCUUGGUGGCCAGGGACACCUUGGAAAGGCACAUCUCCCGAGAGCUGCCUGUGUGCCACGGCCCACGGCUCACGGCUCACGGCCCAGCACAGCCCACGGCUCACGGCUCACGGCCCACAACCCAGCACGUCCCUUCUCAGGUGGGAGUGACUUCCUCGCACUAAUGGUUUUACAGAUGAGGCUUAGCUUCAUGUAGGAACCUGGAGACAAAACCCUCUUUCCCAUCUGUUCCUCCGACUACGGCUGUCAUUUCCCAUCAGAAAACUGCCUGGAAUUGUCUUAUGCUUGAACUUUAGGGCGAAUUACCCCACUUACAGGGUUUGGGUGUAUGUGGUUUAUGACUUGGGACGCACGGGGAUAACAUGGUAGUUAGGGGGACGCCUCCACAGAGUGGGAGGAAAACCCCAGUUCCCGCCACCUGCCCCUCAGCCAGGAUGGGACAGCCUUAAGGCCAUGCUGCCACCAGGAGCAAACAUGGGGUGGGCCUCGCUGGCCUCAGGCCAUGGUCCUGCUGGGCCGCGACCUCCCGCGCGGGGCCCAGCGCAGCUGUCACGGGCAUUGGCCUGAAGCUCUGGAGCUGGUUCUGUCGGCCUCCGGGAGGGGCCGGCGAAGGGGGAACCCAGCAACCUCCACACGGCGACCUCAGGCGAGGGGGCGUUCGCUAAAGCCAAAGGGCCGUUCCAUCCUCAAGCAGGUUUUCCGCAUGCGUACGCUAAAAAGUUGACAAGUUCGUUUACCUGGUUUCAUGUAGACGCGUUUGCGUGAUUAAAAUUAGGUAUGUUUA